GGAGCUUUGGAAUUUUGAUGUGGGAAAUAGUGACAUUGGGGUCAACACCAUAUCCUGGCAUUUCUGCGGCAGGUGUCAUGCGUAAGGUACGCGAUGGAUACCGUCUUGUAAAACCUGAACGUUGCCGACGUGAGCUAUAUAUCAUAAUAUAUUAUAUUACUGCUGGGCAGGCGAUCCCAAUGAGCGCCCUACUUUUGUAAAAUUGCUCCAAAUGCCAGAUAAACUACUACAUACUGAGGUGUAUUAUAUUGAACUGGAACGUUUUCCUGAUCACAACUACUAUAAUAUUCUGAAUCUGAGCGGCGAAAAGUUGUAAUACUAUACUAUAAUUAAUGUAUGUAAGAGUUUAAAAACUCUGUUCCAAUAAUAAACAAUUUCAUUACUUUUUA